rnacentral:sRNA from 1 species
UGUCUCGAGGUCACUGCUCAGGAGGGGUC